rnacentral:lncRNA from 1 species
CUGGUGCAGGAGCACAUUAGGGAGCAUGUGGAUGUAGGGUCCCAUUUGGUCCCCACCUCUGCCAUCCACUGCGGCUGAGGCAUUGGUGGAGGGUGGCCCACGCUGGAGGGGCAAGCUGGGACAGGGACAGGGAACACACCCCUGAGUACAGUGGUUGGGGGAGAAGUGAGGAUGCAAAGACUAGAUGUGGGUGCUUUUCAUUCCAAGGCAGACACUGCUGGCUUAGGGGUAGCCUGCUCUGGUCCAGCUGAGGGUUUAUCGCUGUCUCACCCUCUCUCACACACACACAUAGGCAUCCCUGAAAACAUGGGGUCUCAGAAGGGCCAGCCCCUUUGCGCACAGGGGUCGGGGAGCCCUGGGGGACUGGAGGGGCCUCGGGUGCCCCCCCCUCUGCCUUCAAGAAGCCUGACCAGGGCAGGAACCCCUACACAGGAACCCGUGGGCUGUGAGCCUUAUCUGCACGCCAGCUCUCUGAAAGAGCUGAGGCCCCAGGGUGUCCCUUAGAUCUAUGGUCUUCUGCCCUUCUGUAGCCAAGCCCAGGACCUGAGCUUCACCACCAGCUCUGCCCAUGAGGAGAGGGACAGUGCUCUAGAUCCUUCAUCCCUCCCUCCUUCCCUCCCUCUCUCCCUCUCCCUCUCUCCCUCUCUCUCUCUCCCUCUCUCCCUCUCUCUUUCUCUCUUUCUCAGAAUUUCACUUUUGUGGCCCAGACUGGAGUGGAAUGGUCCUAUCUCGGCUCACCACAACCUCCGCCCAUCGGGUUCAAGCGAUUCUCCUGUCUCAGCCUCCCAAGUAGCUGAGAUUACAGGCAUGGGCCACCACGCCCGGAUAAUUUUGUAUUUUUAGUAGAGACAGGGUUUCUCCAUAUUGGUCAGGCUGGUCUCGAACUCCUGACCUCAGGUGAUCCGCCUGCCUCAGCCUCCCAAAGUGCUGGGAUUACAGGUGUGAACCACCAAGCCUGGCCAGAAUGUUCUUUCUCGAAGCCCCACGUGCAGGUGCCCACAAAAGUCCUUCUACCCUGAGACCAGCACAACCCAGUAACCCUGUCAAAAGCCCCAUGG